CUCUCUUUAGACUGGUAUUUAUUGGUGAGCAUUAGGAAUAAAACAUUCUCAGUGUCAACUUCCUACCUCCUUUUUUUUUUUUUUUUUUGCAGUACGUCGGCCUCUCACUGUUGUGGCCUCUCCCGUUGAGGAGCACAGGCUCCGGACGUGCAGGCUCAGCGGCCAUGGCUCACGGGCCCAGCCGCUCCGGGGCAUGUGGGAUCUUCCCGGACCAGGGCACAAACCCACGUCCCCUGCAUCAGCAGGCAGACUCUCAACCACUGUGCCACCAGGGAAGCCCCCCUACCUCCUUUUGAAGGUGGUGAAAUUUUCCUAGGAUGGCUUAAGGAGAAUGAAAUACAUUUUCUUUGCUAAAUUGGGUCUUAUAAUUUCAAGCUCAUUUUAUCAUUUUCUCAUCUGAUCUUUUGUAACUUGCCUUGAGCUAUUUGACACUUAGCAGAUCUUUGCCUACCUACCUCAAUGAAAAGGGUACCCAACAGAACAAAUCCCACAAUGGAAGAAAGGGAAAGAGUAACUCCUCCCAAAUCCCAGUGAAACCUUGGGUUCCCACGCUGUCCUGUCUGGCCUGCAUGCACGAGUGGGUUCUGGGAACAAAGUUUCCAGAAGGAGUGUGACUUUCAUGAUUAAUUGCGUUCCCUGAAAGACUCUGCCUUAACCAUGCAGGGUCUUCUACAAAGAAAAUUUUACAUUUUGCUAUGAAAGGAUCAAACAGAUAAUACUAGUUAGAAUCAAAUUUUUUGAAAGGUCAGGUUCAUAGAAGCCUGCAACUAAUAAUUAUUGACUUGAGUACAUGUUGGCAAACUUUUAAAGAAACGUAAAGAAGUUUAUGGGGAAAAAUGUUAACCUCAUCUAUCAACCCUAAUUGAAAACGGCCAGAGGAAUAUAAAAAUGGAUGGAAGCCAGCAUUAGGGCUGAAAAUUAGAGAAGUCUUCACCCACAUGCCACCAACUUGGAGGAAGUUCUGCCCGAUAUAGUGCAAACUGCAGGAGGCUACCUUGGCCACACCACAGGUAUCCUUUUUUCAGAAAAAGCUAGGGUGUGCAAAAAAGUAAGUAGAAGAGAUUCAACUAGUCCCCACCGUCAGUAAUAACCUCCAGUUUCCAGGCAUGAGAGCUGAGAGGGGUCUGCCUCUGUGCAGACUGGGAAUAUUUACUCUACUUGUAACCCCUUUUCCCAGAGUGGAUCCACAAUUCAGAAUCAGCUCCUGCAGGAAGCCCAAGGCCAAACUGGGCCUGAGGACAGCAGGCCUUCCUGAUGCAGUGGUGGGGCAUCCAGAAGUUUUCCUCAAAUUUCUGUGAUUCCUGGUUGUCAGACAACGAGGAUGAAGGACUGGGCCUGGCUCAGUAGAUUAUUUAAUUUUGUAUGGUUUAGUCACAAUUCUACUGAACAGAGACUUCAAGACAUGGAUAAUCAGACAUGAACUUUAUUUCUACUAUUCAGACAAAGGAGGAAGAAGUGGACCAGCAUUGUUUGUUAAGCUUCCUUUUAGGUAAAUAAAUCAUGAUAAUAUGAUAUAUGCAAAUAUUGACAACACUAAAUGCAGGGCUCAU